rnacentral:rRNA from 1 species
UGGGGAAUAUUGCACAAUGGGCGCAAGCUUGAUGCAGCCAUGCCGCGUGUAUGAAGAAGGCCUUCGGGUUGUAAAGUACUUUCAGUCGGGAGGAAGGUGGUAAGGUUAAUAACCUUAUCAAUUUACGUCACCGACAGAAGAAGCACCGGCUAACUCCGUGCCAGCAGCCGCGGUAAUACGGAGGUUGCAAGCGUUAAUCGGAAUUACUGGGCGUAAAGCGCACGCAGGCGGUUGAUUGAGUCAGAUGUGAAAUCACCGGGCUUAACCCGGGAAUUGCAUCUGAUACUGGUCAGCUAGAGUCUUGUAGAGGGGGGUAGAAUUCCAUGUGUAGCGGUGAAAUGCGUAGAGAUGUGGAGGAAAACCGGUGGAGAAGGCGGCCCCCUGGACAAAGAAUGACGCUCAGGUGCGAAAGCGUGGGGAGCAAACAGG